rnacentral:rRNA from 1 species
AUUGAACGCUGGCGGCAGGCCUAACACAUGCAAGUCGAACGGUAACAGGAAACAGCUUCCUGUUUUGCUGACGAGUGGCGGACGGGUGAGUUAUGUCUGGGAAUCUGCCUGAUGGAGGGGGAUAACUACUGGAAACGGUAGCUAAUACCGCAUACCGUCGCAAGAUCAAUGAGCGGUACCUUCGGCCCUCUUGCCAUCGGCUGUGUCCAGAUGGGAUUAGCUAGUAGGUGGGGUAACGGCUUACCUAGGCGACGAUCCCUAGCUGGUCUGAGAGGAUGACCAGCCACACUGGAACUGAGACACGGUCCAGACUCCUACGGGAGGCAGCAGUGGGGAAUAUUGCACAAUGGGCGCAAGCCUGAUGCAGCCAUGCCGCGUGUGUGAAGAAGGCCUUCGGGUUGUAAAGUACUUUCAGCGGGGAGGAAGGGAAUAAAGUUAAUACCUUUGCUCAUUGACGUUACCCGCAGAAGAAGCACCGGCUAACUCCGUG